UUUCCGUAGGUGAACCUGCGGAAGGAUCAUUCAUAAUAAAGUGUUUUAUGGCACCUUUUAAAAAUCCAUAUCCACCUUGUGUGCAAUGUUAGAUCUCGUCAAUCUUGGCGAGAUUUUUAUACAUCAACUCAUUCUUUAACUAAUUUGUCUGAAAAAUAUUAUGAAUACUUAAUUCAAAAUACAACUUUCAACAACGGAUCUCUUGGCUCUCGCGUCGAUGAAGAACGCAGC
rnacentral:misc_RNA from 1 species